AACGGACGAGAAGCUUGCUUCUCUGAUGUUAGCGGCGGACGGGUGAGUAACACGUGGAUAACCUACCUAUAAGACUGGGAUAACUUCGGGAAACCGGAGCUAAUACCGGAUAAUAUUUUGAACCGCAUGGUUCAAAAGUGAAAGACGGUCUUGCUGUCACUUAUAGAUGGAUCCGCGCUGCAUUAGCUAGUUGGUAAGGUAACGGCUUACCAAGGCAACGAUGCAUAGCCGACCUGAGAGGGUGAUCGGCCACACUGGAACUGAGACACGGUCCAGACUCCUACGGGAGGCAGCAGUAGGGAAUCUUCCGCAAUGGGCGAAAGCCUGACGGAGCAACGCCGCGUGAGUGAUGAAGGUCUUCGGAUCGUAAAACUCUGUUAUUAGGGAAGAACAUAUGUGUAAGUAACUGUGCACAUCUUGACGGUACCUAAUCAGAAAGCCACGGCUAACUACGUGCCAGCAGCCGCGGUAAUACGUAGGUGGCAAGCGUUAUCCGGAAUUAUUGGGCGUAAAGCGCGCGUAGGCGGUUUUUUAAGUCUGAUGUGAAAGCCCACGGCUCAACCGUGGAGGGUCAUUGGAAACUGGAAAACUUGAGUGCAGAAGAGGAACAGUGGAAUUCCAUGUGUACGGUGAAAUGCGCAGAGAUAUGGAGGAACACCAGUGGCGAAGGCGACUUUCUGGUCUGUAACUGACGCUGAUGUGCGAAAGCGUGGGGAUCAAACAGGAUUAGAUACCCUGGUAGUCCACGCCGUAAACGAUGACGUGCUAAGUGUUAGGGGGUUUCCGCCCCUUAGUGCUGCAGCUAACGCAUUAAGCACUCCGCCU
rnacentral:rRNA from 1 species